rnacentral:lncRNA from 1 species
AUGAGCGACCAGCGCAGAGAGACUGCCACCACUGACCUACACCGCCGAGGAGAGGUGUGCCAGGCCGCCAGGUGUGCCAGGCCGAUGAAGAAGGGAACGUCGAGGGAAGGGUCGUCUUCCAGGCUCGUCCAUCGCCAGUUCGACCAGACGUCGACCAACCCACGGGUCCCGGGAACGCCUUUUCAACGACCCGUGCUAGCGCUGUGGAGAGGUGGGGCACUGGGCCCCGGACUGCUUCGCCCCCGCACCAAAACACCACAGAGCCCCACAGUCGGGAAACCAAUGGGGGUAGGCACCCUGGGGGACUGCCACCCGUCCAACCGACCAUGGACCCCAUUGAGAACAACGACAAGAUUAUUAGAGUGGGCCACGCACACGGCCUCUACCUCCUCUGUUCCAUCAAGGGACACCCCUGCUGGGCCCACGUGGACACGGGCUCCACCAUCCUCCAUUGUGCGCCCAGGGGUGCUUCCAGAGACAGGAUGGACGCCCACCGACUGUAAGAUCCGAACAGUGACCGGAGAACUAGCUGGGAUGCUAGGGAAAAUCCCGCUGCCAGUGAAGGUGGGGAACACCGAAACCACCCACAAGUUUUGGGUGGCCGAAAUUCUAGACCCCUGCAUCAUCGGGCUGGAUCUACUGACUCGUUGGGGGGCUAGGGUGGAUGUGUCAAGGAACACCAUUCACUUCGGCACGGAGACGCUGACCCUCCGGCGCCGUCAUGGGGGGAAGAUAGGGUAUACAGAAGCCCAGCUGUGUUCACCAGGCGCCGCACCAUCGCCGCCUCCACAGCCCCUGAGACGACAACAGCGACCUCCGUGGAGGCUAAGACUCCUCAGCCCCCAUCGUCAGAUGUUGACAACGCGAUCCAGGAACUGUACCAGCAGAGCAGUGAAGGACUCGAUGCUCAGCAGAGUCAACAGCUGCGAGACCUGCUCCAACAGUUAUCAGACAUUUUUGCUGCACGAAAUCAGGACUGCACCCAAACUAACCUGGUGCAGCACUCAAUUGACACUGGCACGGCCCUGCCCAUUAGACUGCGAGCCCGCCGACUAG